rnacentral:rRNA from 1 species
AACGAACGCAGGCGGCAGGCCUAACACAUGCAAGUCGAACGCCCUAGCAAUAGGGAGUGGCGCACGGGUGCGUAACGCGUGGGAAUAUGCCCUUCACUGCGGAAUAACGUUUGGAAACGAACGCUAAUACCGCAUAAUGACUCCGGUCCAAAGAUUUAUCGGUGAAGGAUUAGCCCGCGUUAGAUUAGCUAGUUGGUGAGGUAAUGGCUCACCAAGGCGACGAUCUAUAGCUGGUCUGAGAGGAUGAUCAGCCACAAUGGAACUGAGACACGGUCCAUACUCCUACGGGAGGCAGCAGUGGGGAAUUUUGUGCAAUGGGGGAAACCCUGACACAGCGACACCGCGUGAGUGAAGAAGCCUUUUUGGGGUGUAAAACUCUGUCGGCAGGGACGAAAAAAAUGACGGUACCUGCAGAGGAAGCAUCGGCUAACUACGUGCCAGCAGCCGCGGUAAU